rnacentral:SRP_RNA from 2 species
GCUGAGCUCAGUUGCGAGAGUUUGUAACCCGAGUGGGGGCAUUAAAGUGAUGUGAACGCUGUUAUAGCGUUGCGGGCCUGGUCUGGGUGUGCUACUGUUGGCCCGCCCGUUCCAAGUUGAGUAGUGGACCGUCUGAGGCCUAUGCGAAAGCUGGGCCUCACGGCCACAUAAUGUGGCAGGCACAGCGUGAGGCUGGCUUCACAGAGCAGCGACAACUGCCCACUUCCAACGGUGGAAGGAUAACGGGCCGCUGCACUCCUAGGCCACUUGGGCCUUGCAGCCUACUCCAACGAACCAUCAUUUUU